AUGCUUGCGUGGUCGCUGGGCUCAGCCCCGCUCGCUCAACAUUGCCACCCCUCACUGGGGAUUCACCACCAGGGAAGAUUUUGUCUCUGCGCUGGGGGAACAAUAACAAAGCUCUCCCCAAACCUCACUGGAAUCAGACGACCACGGGCACGCGGUGGCCGACAUCUGUUUUGCCUCAGAGCGCAGCACGGAGGCGGGCGCUGGUGGCGGAGCCACUCGCUGGAGCCAGCUCAAGCAUCACGGUGCUCGCCGGCCUGGCAAGACAAUAAAUGGAGCCUGUUUAUUUACGAUGGCCGGGCUCUAGCAGGUCGCUGGCAUGGUCUCCAAGGGCAAAGCGUUCGAAUCCCUUUCUCAGUUUUCUCCCUUCCAUCUCCCCGGGCUGCCUUCUGUUCUUUUUGUGCCUAUUCUCCCAGGAGAUCUGGUCUCGAAACAAAUAGCUCACCAGCGCUGCAGCUCUUGGUUGCAAGGUUAAAUAAGUUUAGGAGGAAAAGUACAUUUGGAGAUGGUGCUGAUCCAAAGGAAGGAGCCAAGCACGCUAUUGUCUCGAUGAGCUCAGAGCCCGCCGCGGUCAUUUCCUGGGUACAUCGGCAUGUUGGCUGGGAGCUGCAUAUAGCCGCUGCGAAGUGGAACUGGAUUAAAAAUAAAGCUGCUCUUGUGACAAAACAAACAACUGGGAAUUGGCCUCUGGGCUUCUGUUCCUGGCUUUACAAGGGAGCUCACCACAGCGGAGGAAAGGGAAGCUGCGGGAUCCACAGAGCCAGGGAGGAUGCUUGGGGUCAGGGCAGCCCUGCUGAGGGCUCCGCUGCAGUGCCAUCCUCUGCCUGGGUGCAGGAGGGACCAGGGGACCCUCUCAGCCUGGAUGUGCUGUGGGGGAGGCCUGGAGGAGCCCCCAGCUCCUUCUCCUGCUCUCUACCCCCAACCUCCUACCCCCUGGGAUCUCAGGUUGGGGGUAACACAAAGUGCUCAAGCAGCCGUUCUUACAGUGGGAUGGGAAUGAAAAUGUGCUGA
rnacentral:lncRNA from 1 species